rnacentral:rRNA from 1 species
AGUCGAGGGGCAGCAUGAACUUAGCUUGCUAAGUUUGAUGGCGACCGGCGCACGGGUGAGUAACACGUAUCCAACCUGCCGAUGACUCGGGGAUAGCCUUUCGAAAGAAAGAUUAAUACCCGAUGGCAUAGUUCUUCCGCAUGGUAGAACUAUUAAAGGAUUUCGGUCAUCGAUGGGGAUGCGUUCCAUUAGGUUGUUGGCGGGGUAACGGCCCACCAAGCCUUCGAUGGAUAGGGGUUCUGAGAGGAAGGUCCCCCACAUUGGAACUGAGACACGGUCCAAACUCCUACGGGAGGCAGCAGUGAGGAAUAUUGGUCAAUGGACGAGAGUCUGAACCAGCCAAGUAGCGUGAAGGAUGACUGCCCUAUGGGUUGUAAACUUCUUUUAUACGGGAAUAAAGUGAGGCACGUGUGCCUUUUUGUAUGUACCGUAUGAAUAAGGAUCGGCUAACUCCGUGCCAGCAGCCGCGGUAAUACGGAGGAUCCGAGCGUUAUCCGGAUUUAUUGGGUUUAAAGGGAGCGUAGGCGGACGCUUAAGUCAGUUGUGAAAGUUUGCGGCUCAACCGUAAAAUUGCAGUUGAUACUGGGUGUCUUGAGUACAGUAGAGGCAGGCGGAAUUCGUGGUGUAGCGGUGAAAUGCUUAGAUAUCACGAAGAACUCCGAUUGCGAAGGCAGCUUGCUGGACUGUAACUGACGCUGAUGCUCGAAAGUGUGGG